rnacentral:rRNA from 1 species
GACGAACGCUGGCGGCGUGCUUAACACAUGCAAGUCGAACGGAAAGGCCCUGCUUUUGUGGGGUGCUCGAGUGGCGAACGGGUGAGUAACACGUGAGUAACCUGCCCUUGACUUUGGGAUAACUUCAGGAAACUGGGGCUAAUACCGGAUAGGAGCUCCUGCUGCAUGGUGGGGGUUGGAAAGUUUCGGCGGUUGGGGAUGGACUCGCGGCUUAUCAGCUUGUUGGUGGGGUAGUGGCUUACCAAGGCUUUGACGGGUAGCCGGCCUGAGAGGGUGACCGGCCACAUGGGGACUGAGAAACGGCCCAGACUCCUACGGGAGGAAGCAGUGGGGAAUAUUGCACAAUGGGCGGAAGCCUGAUGCAGCAACGCCGCGUGCGGGAUGACGGCCUUCGGGUUGUAAACCGCUUUCGCCUGUGACGAAGCGUGAGUGACGGUAAUGGGUAAAGAAGCACCGGCGAACUACGU